AAAUGGGCAUGCUUGUGACAAUAGAAGCCAUUUAGAGUCAGGAAGUUACAAGGAAAGAUGAUGUUGCUGGUAAUGAUGAUUGUCCAGUGCAAAUAAAAUUGGUUGUACUUCAUCUCAGCUUGAGCAUGUUAAUUUUCAAUAUCUGAAUGCUAAAUGUAGAUUAUUGAUAAGGUACACACCCUCCUAGUUCACAUUGAAAAACAUCUUGUAGAAUCUCCCAAAAGAUCAUGCCUAAGUGUGAAUGCUUAUGAAGAUCUGUAUGUGAUUGCAUCCGCAAAUUCAUCUCCGGUAAUUUUAAAAUUUGUUUCUGACA